rfam:Triticum urartu cultivar G1812 contig1210575, whole genome shotgun sequence.
UACAUACUCCUUUCGUCCGAAAAUACUUGUCAUCAAAAUGAACAAAAAAUGAUGUAUCUAAAAUUAAAAUACGUCUAGAUACAUUCACUUUUAUCCAUUUUGAUGACAAGUAUUUCCGAAGAGAGGAAGUACGUG